CAAGAACCCUAGCCAGGCGGGCCUGGCUGCGCCGCGAGGGGCGGGGCCUGGAGGGCCUGGGGGCGGGGCCUGAAGGACCCAGGGGCGGGGCUGGAGGCGGGGUCUCGGACGGUCUUGGCGAGGCAGAGACCUUUUUGCCCAAAGCUUACUGGUGAUUAUCUCUGAAGCCGCUCUGGUACCUGCCUACUUCUGCAUCCUGUUUCCUACAAGCCGAGAGAGCGGCCACGAUCUGACCCCAAGCCCUGUCUUCCUAUACACGCCAUCUGGGGCACUGUUAUAAAAGGUGCGAGUAGUCCACGGAACCCAUCACUACUAGUUAAAAAAAAAAAAGAGGUCAAAUGCGGAUGAGGGGCGCUCCAUCUGACUCAGACUGGAGAUCAGAUUUUAAAUCGUCACCACGCAUUCCAGGAGCACCGUCUACGGAUCACGGUGGGAAUAGAAAAGAGGUCGUCCCUGCCUCCCACGUCUUAGAGCCCUGCUCCACUUUACUGCCUCCCUUCUGAGGAACAGACGUCCUGAGAAAAGACAAAGGGACGCAGCAUCCACUUCAAAUUCUUCUUGCAGUAUUUAGACACAAAAUAAACACUGGUCAACCACCAUAGCAGGAGGCGGGCGCUGUGUUCAGCAUAUCAAUAAAGAAAAGCAGAACUCAAGUACCUUAGGCUUCAAGUCCAGUGUUGUUUUUCCUACUGAGGAAGUUGUUAACAAAGCCUCAUAUUUACAUAUUUUUCUCAAAAAAAUACUAUUUAAAACUUGUGAGGUUUAAAUUUGGAAGUAUAUUCUAUCGCUCACCACAUUUGUUGAAAUGUAUCCGACUGAGGUUGUACGUCUAGUCGCCUUCCUGCAGACUUAUUUCUCCAAACCCUGUGAUGUUGGUCAAGGGUCAAGCGAUUACGAUGCUAGAAUGUGACAGAAAUAUGAAAAGCAAAGACCUGAUGUCCCGGAGUCAGGAGAGCAAUCGGCUAACAGUCUGCAGCUCCUGCCACCCACAGGAUGCACGUCAGUUUCUGAGCGGAGGCUGUGAAAUUUCAGGAUAUUUCUACCGAACACAGAACAUAGGAAAGGCAAAGAUGAGAUGUCGCCCCAUGUUCUACCUGCUGGAGGAAUUCUAGUUCUCAGUGGAGCCGAAGAGAACUGAGUCAGCCUGCCGCAAUGUAUGAGACUCACUCUUUGGUGCCUGCUCACCAUGCAAAGCUAUAUAUAAACUUGCUAGGUCUUUCUUUUUCUUCAGUUAAGUGACAAUAAAGAAGCAAUCAGGAAGAGCUGGCAGUUUCAUAAGGGGCAGAGUGACAUGCCUAGAAACAUGAGCAAGAGGAGCCAUCGGUGUGAAACUUGAGCUAGCAGGACCAGCUCAGAUGCACUCACGCAUAUACUGUUUCCAUUCUAGAUGUGGCUAACUUUGCAACCAGGUGGAUUAGAUAACAGUCAAUGUGUGCCAGGCAGAUUACAUUUCUACUCGCCUGGUUUCUAUCAUGUCCCAGUAGCAAAGUGUCACCCCGAAGACUGGCUGCUCUAACAUCCCGAUGUUUUCUCCAGGAACUCUGCAUGCAGUCUUUCCAUGGUCUCAUUUAGCCUUUGACCUCCACGUGUCCUAAGAGCCACGUGGGAUGUAUCAGCUAUCUAGAUAGUCUUUCCCUGAGCCCAAAAGCAAUCAAGUCGCUUGGGAAAAUAGCUGAGGGUCAUAGAGCUAUAUGUGUCACUUCCCAAAUCCAAAAAGAACAUCCAUUUUACUAUUUUCUCUAGAUUUGGAAACAAACUGUCCUUGACAUUGGAGAGGUUCAAUGCAUAUAAUGCAACACCAACCCCCAAGAAAAUUCACUGUGUUUCCACGGAUUUAUUUUCACUUUCUGACACAUGGUCUUAAUCUAAAGAUAACAGCCUCCUCCUGCUGCCUGACCUCAUCAGCACAUUCUUCUCGGUGAGGCCAGAGUAAAGAGACACAAUUCCCGUGGACCAGUCUACAGCACAGAGCACAGACAGAUGAUGUAAGCAUCUAAGAAAAUGCGCUUCUGUCCCCUAAGAUAAAAUCAAACUGCUGCUGCUGUUUCUCUGUUUACUGAGGCAGAAGGAAGCAAAAAAAAGACUGUCCUUUUAAAAAGCUGCCAUCAGUAUUCUAGUGUGUGUAAACUGCUUUUGAUUAGGCAAUUGCAUCCAGAAAAUCUAUGGGCUUGGAGAACAAAUCUCUGCUCAGCUUGGGCCACAGUUGUGCUCUGGAACUUCCUAAAAGUUCACCAUUGGCCAUCAGACAAUUGUGUAGGAUGUGACAAGAAGUACAGCACGACUUUCUGAAAAAUACAACAGUAACUUUGUGUGUGUUUAUGUGUAUGCACAGGUGUGUGUUUACAUAGUUGUGUGUGGUUGUUCACAUACAUAAGUGUAUAUACAUGUGGGGACCAGAGGAUAACCCUGGGUGCUCCUGUACCAUCCAUCUGGUUUUUUGAGACAAAAUAUCUCUGACCUGCAAUAAACUAGUAAGCUAUGCUAGCCA